AGAUGCUUCAAACCUGUUUCUGUUGUUCCUGAACUUUUCCGUGUCAUUUAAAGGAGCCGGAUGCAACGUCUCAUUUCCUGCAAUGUGCCGGGCUGCCUCCAACAGACACCGGCAGAGACCACAUGCACCGGCUAAAAAGAAUCCUUGAAGGCACCAUGGACAUUUACACUUUCAUGAAAUCCAGCUUAAAUGGUGUGCCACUACUGUCUCUGGAAGGAGAACUGGAGUUAAACGGGAGAGCAGAUCCACUUCAGAAUGAAGCCUUGGUCCAAAUGUGGCUGGAGAUCAAGAUGAAACCGCUGCUGAAAUCCAUAACUAAGCAUUUUCUUUCCUGCCUCAGUACCAAGAAUUUCAGCUGCUCCACUUACCAGACUGUGUAUGUAUUCAUUUCUUUUGUAAACCCUUUUUUUGUGCGACCAGCUCUUGAUUCUUGUCUUUGUGCAUCAUCUCCUCCACUCUUGCAGGAUAAAAGAGCUCAGUCAACAUUACUCAGAAAUUAAUCCAGCUCAGCAAAAAUGGAUCUACACAUUCUUCAUGUAUCCAUUCUUGUCAGGAGACGGAAUUUAUGGUUGUGCGGACUCAGAAGUAAGCAGUGAGGAGUGGCUGAUGAAGAAUUUUGGUGCUUUCAGAGCAAUGGCCAGAAUGAAGGACUUCUCUGCUCUAAACAUGGUCUUCAGUGGAGUGGAAGUGCUUCACCUGCUGUCUCCUGCACAAAAAGCAGAGCUGCUCAUGAGGCCUGAAGUGGAAAGCUUUGAAAACGGCACCCUAUCCCUGAUCUUCCACAGUUUGUUAACAGGAGGCUCUGAAUCCACACCCACUGCUCGCCCCGGAGGCGACCAGAGCUGGACAACACCUGCAGAAUCAUCUACAUUACCUUCCCAUCCAACACAGCCUGCACAUCAGUCUCACCACCUGUCUCCACGUGAAAAGCUCAGAAAGAUCCUAAAUGGCGUUAUGACAGCUGUCAAACCAAUUGGGAGCUUUGUACAUGAUUUUAUGUCCUUCACGCGUCAGAGAAAUGUGUCAGACCUAAGAAGCACCACAAUGACUCAGUUCCUGCUCAACUGGACUCUGGCUGAACUGGCUGACAUGUAUCAUCCAAAAGUCAAAGUUCCAAAAGAACCACAGUUUGAUGUGACAAAUGUGGGGAAUUGGUACCAGCAGGUUGUCAUACCAUUGCUUCAGAGGUUUAUCACAAAUAAUGAAAUCCUGGAGCACCAAAGCAUCAAACUUGCUUUUCACCAACUUUUCUAUUUGGACAAUCCUGCAGACAAUGAAUUCUCUAAAAACCCAGAAAUUGAGGAUGUCUGUAGCAUCACUCUUGAUAAGACCCAUUGUGGGCUGACUGAUGCAGUGGAAAAUGUGGCUCAUGUUUUGCACUGUGCUGCUCGCACAAACCUGACAUUGAAUGAGGAAACAAUAAUGAGACUGAUUCUGGAGCUGACUAAACGUCUGAACUCCCUGGUCAAGGAACUGUUCAACACUAACUUCAAGGAAGUGUCAUCUGAAAUAAAGGAGAUCUUUGGUCAGGGUGAAGCUCCAACUCUGACCCAGGAGCACCUGAAUGACCCCAACUUCAUUCAGCUCUGGUUUAAGAUCAAGCUGCUGCCCCUCCUGCCUGAUGUUAACCCAGAUCUCCUGUCCUGUCUGAGCACCAAGAACUUCUCCUGCCCUGUUUACCAAAGCCUAGUGUCAGCACUGGGUGAAUCCAUGAGUUUCAUGGAUACUGACCCGAUUUACAGUCAGAACAUCUAUAAAUACUUCAUCUAUUCUUUCCUGCAGCAACACAACUUGUCUGACUCUCAUUGUUCAGCCAAUAACAGUGCAGAAUGGUUGGAAAAGAAUGUUGGCUUCUUCUCAAAGUUUGCUUCCAUCAUUGAUUUCUAUGAGCUCAACCCUAAUUUCUCUGGAUUGGACGCUCUUCAUCUUCUGACUCCAAACCAGACAGCAGAGAUGCUGCUGCUGCCUCUGCGUACUCCACCAGAGAAAGAUGUUGUCAUAAAUUAUGUGUUUAACUAUCUGAUUGAGUCACCUGAAGACAGGAAACUUCUGGAAGUUAUGUAUUUUGUAAACCAACUUGCUCAGAAGGUAACAGAUUUGGUCAGGACAAUGGUUUGAAAAACGUCAUCAAUCUAGAUAAUCUAUAGUAAAAACUCUCGAAUUUUUCAGAUCAAUCCUCCCUGCAGCAUCUACACACUUCUGUAAGUACUCUCACUGACUUGCAGUAGAUGCUUUGCAAA
ensembl:lncRNA